UCUAUGAUUCUGUGAUUCUGUAUUGUUUUGCAUCAUUUAAAUCUUUUUUUUUUUCUGAUUUUGGACACCUGUGCAUGAGAACUAUAUGAGUAGAUAAUUUCAUGCAAGCAAAACAUCUGUCAGACGUUUAUAUCAUCACCAAUGUGAGCCAGAAUCAUGCUGGCAAUUUGCAACUGAAUGUUCUGUAUCCAGCAUCCAAGCCACUAAGAAAUCCACUUUUCAUGUUCUAGGACAAUGCUGAUGCCUGAGGGGGAGGAGAGGUGUCCAGGUGGUGUCACAUUAGCAACCAGAAUAGUAUUAUUUGUCUCAGCUUUGUGAGAAAGUUUUGCAUUGCCCAAAGGAGACACAGAAAGCCAAGUGCAAUUCUUCCAGUAGAGGCAGUAUAAUCAUAAUACAUGAUUAGCCAUUAUGAUCUCCUGUCAUUUCACACUAGGUGAAUUAUGGCUCUCACGCAGGGAAUGCAAGACUACAGAUGGAGCGCUGUCUGUUACAAAUCUCUUGUAAAGCUGCUGCUGUAAAUCUGGAGAAAAGUCAUUGCAUAAAACAAACAAAACAGACAAAGCAAAACCUAUGCUGAAGGAACUUGUCUUUGUUUUCUUAGAGAAGAUGGUGUUUGGGAAGGUACUGUUCUACUCUGCGCUCAUUAAUGUCAUGCAAGGAAGCCUUCAUCGGGGAAUAUUUACCUUUUUCUCAAAGACAAGAAAAGAGAUGUGACAAUAUUUAACAUGCAGUUGGAUUACUGUAUGGUAUUUUCCAUGAGAGGGAAGGAGUAGAGAAACCACUAUCCAAACUGUCUUAAGCUGUAAUGGACCUUAUAUUAGCUAAAUCAUUGGCCAAAUAGAAGUUCCUAGGUUGCGGAUGCCUCCUCUCUGCAUGAAUUCAAGAUCAGGUUGGAUGGGGCUUCAGGCAGUCUGAUCUAGUGGGCAUGGAGGUUGAAACUAGGUGGUCCUUAAGGUCCCUUCCAACCCAAACCAUUCCUUCCUUCUAUGAGUCUAUGCCACUAUUUUGGAUUAUUGACUAUGAAGGAUAUCUGCAUCAUGUUCAGAAUUUGUGUUCAACUCAGGUGCGGGCUUAAGACUAUUGUGCCAUACCUUUGACACAAAAGCUUAUUCGUAUGCUAUAAGUGAAUAGACAUUGAUGAAGAUGGGGAUGAGUUACAUCAGCAAGGUGAAUAGAGAGAUGGAACUGUGAUAGACUAAUACAGAUCCAUACUGCAGUUGGCAGUACACAUACAGUCAGUGAAGCAGGUGGUGACAGCUGAAAGAAAAUACAAAAGGCUUACUCACUGAUUUUUGCAUGACUUUUUUUUUUUUUUUUUACAUAGAAUGGGUUUUAAGGCAGUGACUGAUUAUCUGAAGAAACGCACUUGUUCUAUAACAUUGAGGUCUAUCUUUAAAAUAAGAGUAUAAAAAAUUUGGAAAGCAAUUUAGUUGUAUACAAUGUCCACCACUCCAAUAAAAAACAAGUACAAAUAUAUGUAAAGAGGAAUGAAAAUUUAUUUGAAAUUGAGGCUUUCAAUUUAUAUGUUUCCUGCACACAUAAAAAUGGUAAUCUCUAAGCUUAUAACAAAGUGCCUUGCUUAGUGGAAGCCUGUAGGUGCUCAUAAAAAUGUUUAAAUAUGGAGUGUUAGGUUAUUUUUUCUGUCUCAUGGAAAAUAUGGAGACUUUCAGAAGUUCUGUGCAUCCAUCAGCUCCUGUUUAUCUUGAUUUUCUUUUUAGAAAAAAAAAAAAAUCUAUUGCUUAUUUAAGAAAAUAAUUUAACUUUGGAAAGAGAUGGAGCUUGUGUUGGAGUUCAAUACUUACAGGUUCUAGACAAUUGAAUGAUACUAUGAACAAUAUAAAUGCAUCCAGCAGAUUUUUUGUUGCAUUUUUUCAACAGUAUUAGAUAUUGGACUGCCCAUGUUCCUUGAACCAGGCUUGUACUUCAUGAUAUCAGAUGUGAGAUAUGUUUUAUUAUUUAAAUCACUUAUUCUGUAGAAAGCAAUAGUAAUGUUGUGAAUUUGAUGGGUGAUAAUUUUUUUGUUGUUGUUUCAGGAGAAAAUUUAGCUGCACCUCUAUGUUACCUAUGGGAAUAAUGGAUUUAAUGUGUUAGGACAGAGUGCAUAUAGAAGGAAUAGCAUAUCUAGUUUCCUCUGCAGUUCCUCAAGUAAUGAGUAAUGGCAUUUCAGUGAUUAUUUGUUUUUCUAGAACAAUACUCGUUAACAUUUCAGAAGUCAUUUGCUGAUUGUUAGGAACUAGGCCUCAGUUUGGCAAAAAGUUUUAACCAUAAUAUUUUCACAAAAGUUCUCAGUGCUAUCUUGAUGUUUAUCUUUAAGCUCAUUGCUAAGUGCUUUGCUUAGUGAAAGCCUGCUGGUUUUUCUAAGAAUGAUGAAAAAUCUGAUCUGGUGUUAUGUUAAUUUUCCUUCCUGUCAAGGACAUUUGCAAAACCUUAAAAAUCUUAUCCCUUCAAUUAAAUGCUUGGAUAAAGGUCUUCUAGCAUUCUGAUUCCAUGUUGCCUUAUUCCAGCAUCUUUACAUUUCUUUUAAAUUGUUUUUCUUUUCUAUAUCAGAUUCUAGCCUGCAAAUUGCUGCAGUCAUGGAGACAGUAUGCUGUAGUGACACAAAUGGCGUACACCCAAUUCCUGAUAUCUGCUGAGCUCUGCUGUGACACAGAUAUCUAUUCAGUUAGGUGCCAUCAGCUUCCUACACAAAAAUACGUCAUGGGAAGAAUGAAAGGAAGAUAGAUUAAAAGAGUCAAGUCACACCAAGCCCAGCAAUGUAGUAAUUCUCCAUUAACGUGCUAUAAAAUAGCAUUGUGUACAUUGAAUACCAGAUCAUUGUCUGGUGUUCAAGCAAGUUCUAGACUGGCCAGUGGCUUACUUCGCAAGUUCAUACCUCCUGUACACUGCUACUGUUGUGCCUAUAGCAGAAGCAGGGUAGGAUAGUAAUAUCACUAACUAUAGGAGAAUACUUUGGUAUCUCAGGAGAGGAUUUUACAUCUAUAGAGAGCGCUUACCAUAAGCCAUAUUGUCAGCAGGCAUGUGUCUCAGCUUUUCUGUAGCUGAUGCAGCCUCAUACUAACAGCUGUGGUGUCUAAGGCCAUAAAAACCUUGAGCAGGAAAAACCAUCCUUGCCCAUCUGCAAUAUUCACCAUGGAAUAAACGUGAAAGAAAAAACACUGAAUAAUGACUGGCAUUGUUCUUGAAAAGAGCAAGUUCUACUCAUGUCUUCAAACAUUUCUUCGCGUCAGCACUUUUAUCUUUGAUUACCAGGUCUUUGAUUACCUGGAAACUGUGGGCAGCCUGCAGAAUAUGUAGUUGCUUUUGAUUGUUCAUUUGAACUCAGAAGUAUUUUACAGGAACACAAUCAGUCAAUGGUUGGGGUUUUUGGUUUUAAUAUUUUUGUUUGUUUGUUUUUAUUUUGUUGUAGCUACAUCUGUUUCAUUUGGCAAAGUAUUCCAUUAAAUCUUCAAAAAACAUCCACAAAAUAGUUUUAUAACACAUGGAAAGCCAGGAUGUGUUGCAGAUUUUUUUUUCUUUGUCCUUUCUAAAUAGUUAACAGUACUCUAUACUGCUAAUGUACUCAGUACAUUUCUCCUUGCUUUUUUGUGAUAUCAUUCAAUCACCUGCAUUAUGUUUGCCUGAUUCUUCCAUCAUCAAUUUUUUUAAGCUUCCAGGUAAGAGAAUACUUCCAAAAUAAAAGCAAAAGUGGUUUGCAUGUAAAUAGCGGACUGACAUGCAAAAUGUUGUAGAAGAUAUUUGAAGAUAUGUUAUUGAUGAUAGGUGACACUGAGAAACAGUUCUGUUGCUGUCACAUCAAAACAGCUGUGUCAGACACAAGCAAAAGUGUUUAACUUUCACUGAAAUUAAUCACAUGGAAUUGAGACAUUAGUGUGAACGGACCAAGGCAGCAGACAUAAGAACAUAGAAGGAGGGUGGGGUGAGCACUAGUAAUGUUCUAAAGAGGUUUUCAUUAUUCCUUCUGUCACUGUCCCUUGCUGAUUAAAUUCCAGAAACCUGACUGAGGCAGCCAGUUUGAUAUUGUCCAUGGAGAUGUGAACCCAUGCUGAGUACUAACACUGCAGCUUUGCCGAUUUUCAUGUUACACUGGAAAACCCAUAGGACUACUUCAGUUCUGUCCCUGUUGGUGAGUUGCUAAGUUCUGACGAGAGGGUACCAUGUGAACGGAAAAAGCAGGACUCCUUCUCAAGGAUGCAGUCUGUCCUGCAGCCAGUGAGUUACUUGUGUUAUGUUGGAUUCAAGACGCAGGCAAAUCUGACAGGUUCUCCUAGUAAUACUAUCCUUCUGGCUUUGUUUUGCUGGUCUGCUAGCAAUAGAGGCCCUACCCUGAUUCCAGAGAUUUUUGUCUAUUUGGUGGACAGUAUUUGCACUUUUCAUCAGGAGGAAUUUUCUCCGAGACAAAUCCUGUACUGGUUUUGGCUAACACUAGUGGAAAUCUAAGCUGAUGCUGGAUCACAGGGGAAAUUUUUUGAGCUAAGCUGAAUCACUUGGAAAAUUCAGGUUUAGAGAGAUUUUUAUUUUAAUCUCCUUUUGCAGAGAUUCUUCGUUUUUGUGUUGGUUUGACUGUUCAAGCCACACAAUAUAGGGAGAAUAUUUAAAUACAAUUUUUUUGUUCCAAGCACAUUCUGCCAUUAGGAAAUGCCCAAGAAAUGCAUUUAACAGGAAUGUGAUGUUACAGAGAGAUUUUAGAGUUAAAAAGUCUAGGCACAUGGCAGAGAAGGUAAACAACAUGAUAGAUGAAAAAACUCCAGAUCCUAUUAGCUUCUGUUUUUUUAAAUUAACCUUGAAGUUGCUAUGUCUUCUGUGCUUGGCCAUCAUAAGGAUGGGUCAACCUUGCAACAAAUGAGGAGAACAAGAUCUCCCUGUCUGGAAUAAGUCUGCAGUUUUCUGCCCUGAUAGAUCUGGAAGCAUUGCUGGCUGAAAGGCAUUGUUAUGAAUUGUUCUUUGCUAGGGCAAUCGUGCAGUAUAGAGAAGAACAUCUUUCAUAAUCCUGUAAUUAUCUUAUUUUGCAGUGCUAUAAACUUUGGAAGGACUUCUUCAUAAUAUUCCCAUUAGAAUGACUGGAGAAAAGAAUACAACUUGAAGUUUCUGGUUGUACCCAAGGUAGAAAAACAUUUCAGUUUAUUAGUGAUGAAGGAAUGUCUGUCUUCCCCUUCAUUUCAUUCCAAAUAAGUAGUUGUCAUUCAAGUAGCAGUAUUCAGGUGGAACUUGGUAGUACAAGAACUCCUUUCAACCUUUCAUAGAGGUUGAGUGAGAUUUCAAGUUUGUACCAAAAUCUUUGGGCCUCAAGGGCAAUUCAGCUGGAAUAAGAAGUUAUUUACUAGUGCCUGUUUUGCAUUUUACAGUCUUCAUAAGCUUCUGAACCAUUUUCCUGGUUUCAGUAGGAUAGUUCAUUUUCUUCCUGGUAGCUGGUAUGGUACUCUGUUUUGGAUUUAGAAUGAGAAUAAUGUUGACACACUGAUGUUGUAGUUAUUGUUGAGCAGUACUUAGACAGAGCCAAGGACUUUUCAGCUUCUCAAACUGCCCUGCCAGUGAGGAGCUGGGGAUGCACAAGUUGCUGGGAGAGGACACAGGCAGAUCAAAGGGAUCUGAAGGGAUAUUCUGUACCCUAUGAUGUCACAAUGAACAACAAAACUGGGGAGGUUGGAAUCGAUCACUGUGUGUUCUUUCCCCUAUCCCACUGUGGGGAGAGCGAGUGAACCGCUUCUUGGAGCUGAGCUGUCUGACAGCUUAAAACCACAGAUACCAUAUUCUCAGAUCUCGGCAUCUUCAGACUUGAAACCUGAUUCCUGCACUGUGGCUUGAGCCCUCUGAAAAUUAUUCCACAUGCACAAUUUAGUGCUUUUAACCUUCAUCAGCUGUAUUCCCCAUGGCUAGGAGAACUGAAGUCUAUGAAGGAAAUCUGUUUGCUGUGGUGAUUGAAGUGAUUUUAUAUUUUCUUCCUACUUCCCUCGAGUCUUUGUACACAAUUGUGUUGUUACCACCCUUUUCUAGAGAGAUUUUUUCCUCUUUUUUUCUUAGCAAAA